UAGGGAAUUUUCCACAAUGGGCGAAAGCCUGAUGGAGCAACACCGCGUGCAGGAUGAAGGCCCUCGGGUCGUAAACUGCUUUUUCUGUGAUGAAUAUGACAGUAGCAGACGAAUAAGGAUCGGCUAACUCCGUGCCAGCAGCCGCGGUCAUACGGAGGAUCCAAGCGUUAUCCGGAAUUACUGGGCGUAAAGAGUUGCGUAGGCGGUCUUGUAAGCAGGGCAUGAAAUAGUGUGGCUCAACCAUACUGCU
rnacentral:rRNA from 1 species